ensembl:miRNA mir-8196.1 ncRNA
UUUUUGUUGAGGUAUCUUUAUAUCAAUAAUGAAUAAUGUCGCCACCCCAUAGAAAUAUUUUCUAUGUCAACCUCUUGCACGGUUGCCGUAGUUAAUUUUUCUUUGGGAAUAGGCUAAAGUGAAGCGUUGCG